GUUCCAGUAGGGGACUUUUUUUGGUGCCCCUCUGGCCUUAUCAACUCUCCUGAAAGUUGCUGCCUACUGGACAGCACCAAAACCUUCCUCUCACUAUCUCUGCUUCUCUCUUUGUCCUUUGUGGGAUUCCACAGGGAAUCCUAUACCACACUUGAGUCCACAGUCCUGUCUUAUUUUUCAGAUAUUCAGUGGGGUGCUGACUGUCCAUGUUUCAGAUCAGCUAGAUUCAGGCCAGCACGAGUCAACUUUUCUCAUUGUCUUGAAGAAAGCAUCGAGUUCUCUGUGCUUAUACCACAAGAGAGUGUUUUUGGAGGAGUACUGAGAGGGCUGGAAGGAAUGAAGACAGAACGAGAAAUGGAAUGAGGGCAGACAAAUUACAGAUUUUCAGGUGCCUGCAGGUUCAGGGCACUGGAGGCCAGCUGCUG
rnacentral:lncRNA from 1 species